UACAGAGGUCCCAAGCGUUGUUCGGAUUUAUUGGGCGUAAAGGGUGCGUAGGCGGCGGAGUAAGUUGGGUGUGAAAUCCCGGGGCUCAACCUCGGAAUUGCAUUCAAUACUGCUUCGCUAGAGUACUGGAGAGGAGGCUGGAAUUUACGGUGUAGCAGUGAAAUGCGCAGAUAUCAGGAGGAACACCAGUGGCGAAGGCGCCGCUCUGGGCCGUAACUGACGCUGAGAAGCGAAAGCGUGGGGAGCAAACAGG
rnacentral:rRNA from 1 species